GGGCUAGAGUAAAGUCGUUGAGGGGCUAGAGUAAAUUCAUUGAUGGGCUAGAGUAAAGUCAUUGAGGGGCUAGAGUAAAGUCGUUGAGGGGCUAGACUAGCGUUGUUGAGGGGCUAGACUAGCGUCAUUGAGGGGCUAGAGUAAAGUCAUUGAGGGGCUAGAGUAAAGUCGUUGAGGGGCUAGAGUAAAGUCAUUGAGGGGCUAGAGUAAAGUCAUUGAGGGGCUAGAGUAAAGACGUUGAGGGGCUAGAGUAAAUUCAUUGAGGGGCUAGAGUAAAGUCGUUGAGGGGCUAGAAUAAAUUUGUUGAGGGGCUAGACUAGCGUCGUUGAGGGGCUAGACUAGCGUCAUUGAGGGGCUAGAGUAAAGUCGUUGAGGGGCUAGACUAGCGUUGUUGUGGGGCUAGAGUAAAGUCGUUGAGGGGCUAGAGUAAAGUCGUUGAGGGGCUAGAGUAAAGUCGUUGAGGGCUAGAGGAAAGUCGUUGAGGGCUAGAGUAAAGUUGUUGAUGGGCUAGAGUAAAGUCAUUGAGGGGCUAGAGUAAAGUCAUUGAGGGGCUAGAGUACAGUCAUUGAGGGGCUAGAGUAAAGUCGUUGAGGGGCUAGAGUCAAGUCAUUGAGGG
ensembl:lncRNA